rnacentral:rRNA from 1 species
GGUUAAGCGACUAAGCGUACACGGUGGAUGCCCUGGCAGUCAGAGGCGAUGAAGGACGUGCUAAUCUGCGAUAAGCGUCGGUAAGGUGAUAUGAACCGUUAUAACCGGCGAUUUCCGAAUGGGGAAACCCAGUGUGAUUCGUCACACUAUCAUUAACUGAAUCCAUAGGUUAAUGAGGCGAACCGGGGGAACUGAAACAUCUAAGUACCCCGAGGAAAAGAAAUCAACCGAGAUUCCCCCAGUAGCGGCGAGCGAACGGGGAGGAGCCCAGAGCCUGAAUCAGUGUGUGUGUUAGUGGAAGCGUCUGGAAAGGCGCGCGAUACAGGGUGACAGCCCCGUACACAAAAAUGCACAUGCUGUGAGCUCGAUGAGUAGGGCGGGACACGUGGUAUCCUGUCUGAAUAUGGGGGGACCAUCCUCCAAGGCUAAAUACUCCUGACUGACCGAUAGUGAACCAGUACCGUGAGGGAAAGGCGAAAAGAACCCCGGCGAGGGGAGUGAAAAAGAACCUGAAACCGUGUACGUACAAGCAGUGGGAGCACGCUUAGGCGUGUGACUGCGUACCUUUUGUAUAAUGGGUCAGCGACUUAUAUUCUGUAGCAAGGUUAACCGAAUAGGGGAGCCGAAGGGAAACCGAGUCUUAACUGGGCGUUAAGUUGCAGGGUAUAGACCCGAAACCCGGUGAUCUAGCCAUGGGCAGGUUGAAGGUUGGGUAACACUAACUGGAGGACCGAACCGACUAAUGUUGAAAAAUUAGCGGAUGACUUGUGGCUGGGGGUGAAAGGCCAAUCAAACCGGGAGAUAGCUGGUUCUCCCCGAAAGCUAUUUAGGUAGCGCCUCGUGAAUUCAUCUCCGGGGGUAGAGCACUGUUUCGGCAAGGGGGUCAUCCCGACUUACCAACCCGAUGCAAACUGCGAAUACCGGAGAAUGUUAUCACGGGAGACACACGGCGGGUGCUAACGUCCGUCGUGAAGAGGGAAACAACCCAGACCGCCAGCUAAGGUCCCAAAGUCAUGGUUAAGUGGGAAACGAUGUGGGAAGGCCCAGACAGCCAGGAUGUUGGCUUAGAAGCAGCCAUCAUUUAAAGAAAGCGUAAUAGCUCACUGGUCGAGUCGGCCUGCGCGGAAGAUGUAACGGGGCUAAACCAUGCACCGAAGCUGCGGCAGCGACGCUUAUGCGUUGUUGGGUAGGGGAGCGUUCUGUAAGCCUGCGAAGGUGUGCUGUGA